GGGUAUUGUUCUUCGGAAUGAGAGACCGGCGCACGGGUGCGUAACGCGUAUGCAAUCUACCUUUCACAGAGGGAUAGCCCAGAGAAAUUUGGAUUAAUACCUCAUAGUAUAACACAACCGCAUGGUUGAGUUAUUAAAGUCACAACGGUGAAAGAUGAGCAUGCGUCCCAUUAGCUUGUUGGUAAGGUAACGGCUUACCAAGGCAACGAUGGGUAGGGGUCCUGAGAGGGAGAUCCCCCACACUGGUACUGAGACACGGACCAGACUCCUACGGGAGGCAGCAGUGAGGAAUAUUGGACAAUGGGCGCAAGCCUGAUCCAGCCAUGCCGCGUGCAGGAUGACGGUCCUAUGGAUUGUAAACUGCUUUUGCACAGGAAGAAACACUCGGACGUGUCCGAGCUUGACGGUACUGUGAGAAUAAGGAUCGGCUAACUCCGUGCCAGCAGCCGCGGUAAUACGGAGGAUCCAAGCGUUAUCCGGAAUCAUUGGGUUUAAAGGGUCCGUAGGCGGUUUGGUAAGUCAGUGGUGAAAGCCCAUCGCUCAACGGUGGAACGGCCAUUGAUACUGCUAGACUUGAAUUAUUAGGAAGUAACUAGAAUAUGUAGUGUAGCGGUGAAAUGCUUAGAGAUUACAUGGAAUACCAAUUGCGAAGGCAGGUUACUACUAAUGGAUUGACGCUGAUGGACGAAAGCGUGGGUAGCGAACA
rnacentral:rRNA from 1 species